GACGAACGCUGGCGGCGUGCCUAAUACAUGCAAGUCGAGCGCAGGAAAUCAUCCGAACCCUCCGGGGGGACGUUGAUGGAAUGAGCGGCGGACGGGUGAGUAACACGUAAAGAACCUGCCCUCAGGUCUGGGAUAACCACGAGAAAUCGGGGCUAAUACCGGAUGGGUCAUCGGACCGCAUGGUCCGAGGAUGAAAGGCGCUUCGGCGUCGCCUGGGGAUGGCUUUGCGGUGCAUUAGCUAGUUGGUGGGGUAAUGGCCCACCAAGGCGACGAUGCAUAGCCGACCUGAGAGGGUGAUCGGCCACACUGGGACUGAGACACGGCCCAGACUCCUACGGGAGGCAGCAGUAGGGAAUCUUCCACAAUGGACGAAAGUCUAAUGGAGCAACGCCGCGUGAACGAUGAAGGCCUUCGGGUCGUAAAGUUCUGUUGUAAGGGAAGAACAAGUGCCGCAGGCAAUGGCGGCACCUUGACGGUACCUUGCGAGAAAGCCACGGCUAACUACGUGCCAGCCGCCGCCGUAA
rnacentral:rRNA from 1 species